rnacentral:lncRNA from 1 species
AUGCUCACACUCAUGCUGUAUCUAAACACAGCUCAAUCGUUGUUGUUUCAGGAUCUUCGUACCUAUCGGAACCUUUGUUUUUUGUCGGUCUGCUGUGCUUGCUGCUGUAAAAUAUUCCAGUGGCUUCGUGAGGAGCGCGAGGAGCGUGUACAGGCUCCAGUUCGAGCCGUGGAUCAACCGUCCGUCUACGUCAUUCCGAUCUCUCUGUCUGAAGAUGAGCUGCACAGACCACCGCGCUACAGCACUGUACAGUUCUACGAGCCGCCUCCUGCUUAUCACGAGUUGAAUCUGAAGCCCGAGGCCUGUCCUGUGGAACCCCCUCCUGCAUAUUCAGAAUCCGUCUCUCCUUCACCCUCACAUUCAUGAUCAUAAGCACAUCUCAUGCACUUGGACUGCUUAAAAAGGAAAAAAUAAGAAGCAACGUCAUAUUCUCAUGACUUUUCCAAGGACUACUACUCAUGCUACAUAUGCAAAGGUUUAAAUGGUGAGAAAGAAAAUUGCACAGUUAUAAUAAUCUGUGACUCUGUUGGGAGUCCUACAGGGUCAACAAAGAAAGACUUGUUUUACACAAUGAGCAGCAGAACUUGGUUAAAGGUUUAAAAGGUUAUGUUUGUUUGUGUAAAUAUUUAUCAAUUUUGUACAUGUUAUAGCUAAACCUUUUUUGUUAACUUUGUGAAAUGUGUUCAUUUAUAAGAAAUGUUGCAAUUUGUUGACCUGUUGUAAAUUGUACGUCUGAAAUUUUAAGAUUAAAAUAAUGUUGUAUAAACACUGG